AUAGCGUAUAUUAAAGUUGUUGCAGUUAAAAAGCUCGUAGUUGAACCUUGGGCUUGGUUGGCCGGUCCGCCUUUUCGGCGUGUACUGGACCCAACCGAGCCUUUCCUUCUGGCUAACCUCUCGCCCUUGUGGUGUUUGGCGAACCAGGACUUUUACUUUGAAAAAAUUAGAGUGUUCAAAGCAGGCCUUUGCUCGAAUAUAUUAGCAUGGAAUAAUAGAAUAGGACGUUAUGGUUCUAUUUUGUUGGUUUCUAGGACCAUCGUAAUGAUUAAUAGGGAUAGUUGGGGGCAUUAGUAUUCAGUUGCUAGAGGUGAAAUUCUUGGAUUUACUGAAGACUAACUACUG
rnacentral:rRNA from 1 species